GCAACCAAAUGCAGAACUUAUCAUCUUUCCACCUCUACCAUCAACAUCUGGUUAGUGUUGCCAGCUACAACUUCGUCUGUUUCAGCUUCAACUACUGUUACAGUAACAUGUACAACUACAACAACCACCGUGGUUACUUUUACACCAGCUUCAUGUCAUCCAACAACCAAAACAAUUUCCUCCAUUCAUAUAACUACAACAGCUCCAGCCGUUACAACUUAUUGCCUCAAGUUCUACUUCUUCCUUAUUGUCUGAUUCAUUUACCACCGGUGUUGAAAAAUCGCUGGACUCUAAUGAACACUGAUUGGCUUCAACAUCUGCUGGACUUACAUCCACUAACCUUCAGGACACAUCCUUAAAAUGCGUGGCAGACCCGGAUACUUGGAUGUAUGAGGCUCAUUUUGUGUGCUGUGAUCUGAAGUUUUUAUCGGUACCAUUUUUGAUUUGAUGGGACUUUGAUCGCCUUUUAUUCAUUUUUUUUAUGGUAUAAAAUCUUGACCAAAAAUACUUUUGGACUUUGCAAUUUUUUUACGUCUACGCCAUUGACCGUGCGGUUUAAUUAACAGUAUAUUUUUAUAUUUCGGACAUUUACGCACGGGGCAAUACCACAUAUGUUUAUAUUUUUAUUUAUAGUUUUUUUUUUUUUUUCUCAAAUGGGAAAAGAGGGGUGAGUCAAACAUUAGGGAAGGGGUUAAAUGACAUUUCACUUUUUUUUUACUGUUAUAGCCCCCCCAUAGGGGACUAUAACGUGCAAUACACUGAUCACUUCUAUGCCACAGCAUUGCAUUGAUCAGUGUUUUUGGCACUCAAUUGCUCCAGCCUGGAUCUCGGGCUUGGAGCAAUCAAUCGCUGAUUGGACGCCGAGGAGGAAGGUAGGGACCCUCCUCGUGUGUCCUCAGCUAAUCGGGACACCGCAGUGGUCCGAUCAGCCCGACUAAGCUGCCGGGAUGUUUUUUUUUAUUUUUUAUUUUAGACACAGCAAUCAACUUUGAUCGCCACAUGGCCGCAAUUGUUGAUGUCCAGUAUUAGCCACGGAUCCCGGCCAUGACCCCCACAUUAUAUCGCGGGCACAGGGCGUGAAGGUACGCCCUUCAUCCUUAACAGGUUAAUUAAAAUAUAACCAGAAUAACUAUCAAAUGAUAAAGUUUUACUAUAAAAAGUGUAUAACGCAAAAAUGUGUUAUAUAAUAUUGUCACAGACGACUUUAGCAAGCGAUCUUAUACAGAUAGAAUUUCAAAUGAAGUUUUGUAAUAAAAGUAAUAGUAUUGUGCGUGAAGACUUAUCAAUUAUCUGAUGGAAAGUGGAUAAGUGUGUGAUUACAGAGUGGGUGGGGGCCGCCACGCUGGUACCCGCUACAAUCUCAUUUAUUGAAUCUGUGUUGUCAGCGUCAAGGGAAAGUGAACUCCUUUGUACAAAACUUUCAUCUAUAUCUGACUAGCUUCAUCACAUAAACGUAUCUCGCCUUUGUUGAAAAGAUGAUUGCUGAUAAUGUGAUUGCUACGAGACACAGUGUGUGUGCCCCCUUGGAAUGACGUUAACUAUGUAAAGGAAAGUGGAUAAGGAUUGUGUCAACACCGUAGGUUUAAAAAAAAAAAAAUUAUUAAAAAUACUAAACUAUU